AUUGAACGCUGGCGGCAUGCCUUACACAUGCAAGUCGAACGGCAGCACGGGAGCAAUCCUGGUGGCGAGUGGCGAACGGGUGAGUAAUAUAUCGGAACGUGCCCAGUCGUGGGGAUAACGUAGCGAAAGCUACGCUAAUACCGCAUACGAUCUACGGAUGAAAGCGGGGGAUCGCAAGACCUCGCGCGAUUGGAGCGGCCGAUAUCAGAUUAGGUAGUUGGUGAGGUAAAGGGCUCACCAAGCCGACGAUCUGUAGCUGGUCUGAGAGGACGACCAGCCACACUGGGACUGAGACACGGCCCAGACUCCUAC
rnacentral:rRNA from 1 species